rnacentral:rRNA from 1 species
GACGAACGCUGGCGGCGUGCUUAACACAUGCAAGUCGAACGGUGAAGCGCCUUCCUUUUUGGUGGGUGUGGAUGAGUGGCGAACGGGUGAGUAACACGUGAGUAACCUGCCCCCUUCUUCUGGAUAACCGCAUGAAAGUGUGGCUAAUACGGGAUAUUCUGGGUCUGUCGCAUGAUGGGUCUGGGACAGAUAUUGUUUCGGUGGGGGAUGGGCCCGCGGCCUAUCAGCUUGUUGGUGGGGUGAUGGCCUACCAAGGCGGUGACGGGUAGCCGGCCUGAGAGGGUGGACGGUCACACUGGGACUGAGCCACCGCCCAGACUCCUACGGGAGGCAGCAGGGGGGAAUAUUGCACAAUGGGCGCAAGGCUGAUGCAGCGACGCCGCGUGAGUGAUGGAGGCCUUCGGGUUGUGAACCUCUUUCGCCAGUGAAGCAGGCCUGCCGCGUUUGUGGGUGGGUUGACGGUAGCUGGAUAAGAAGCGCCGGCUAACUACGUG